CGCUAAAGUCAUCAGAAUGGAUGGAUUUUAUGACCAGCAAGUGCCUUACAUGGUCACCAAUAAUCUCUGUGGGAGAAAUUGUAAUGAGCGACCAGCAAAUGUCAGGAAAAGAAAAUUCAUUAACAGAGAUCUGGCUCAUGACUCAGAAGAACUGUUUCAAGAUCUAAGCCAAUUGCAGGAAACAUGG